rnacentral:rRNA from 1 species
GUGCACCAGGCGCGAAACCUCCGCAAUACACGAAAGUGUGACGGGGCCAUCCCGAGUGCCGUCCGCUGAGGACGGCUUUUCCCCAGUGUACACAGCUGGGGGAAUAAGGAGAGGGCAAGCCUGGUGUCAGCCGCCGCGGUAAUACCAGCUCUCCGAGUGGUGGGGACGCUUAUUGGGCCUAAAGCAUCCGUAGCCGGCUGGGCAAGUCCUCCGUUAAAUCCAACGAUUCAAUCGUUGGGCUGCGGGGGAUACUGUCCAGCUUGGGGGCGGGAGAGGCCGACGGUAUCCCCGGGGUAGGGGUGAAAUCCUAUAAUCCCGGGAGGACCACCAGUGGCGAAGGCUGUCGGCUGGAACGCGCCCGACGGUGAGGGACGAAAGCUGGGGGAGCAAAGGGGAUUAGAUACCCGUGUAGU